GUUGACUCGAAUAUAUUUGAGGGAGAACGGUGCGAUCAAACGAACUGCAAGCGGAUUUGAAAGCCCCCACUAAACACGAGGAUCAUGGUCCUUUUAAACUCCAGUGACUGAGGAAUGUGCAGGUAUUUGGGCACCAGAGAGAUUCACGGUCACGAAAUGGAGAAGUGCCCACUUCCUCGUUGCAGGUUCAAAUGCAUGCAGACAGAGGUCAUCAUGCCACAGCCAGCACCGACCAUACCACACAGGCAAGACUUCACAUGUCACCUUUAUACAUUAACUCGUUCUCUGUCAGCUCGUGCAGAUGAGACAUUUACAGGCAGCAGCUGUUGUUGACUUUCCAAUUUUUACUCUGAAGAGGUGAGAAAAGGCUAACUGGGACUUCUGAAGGUGGCAGAAUUUACCUUGAAGAUGAAUUGAUUUGAAUUACUUUCCAAGUACUGUUAAGUCAACUUCCAUUCUAUUUGGGAAGUGAGACGUGACUGAAUGUUCCUGUCCAAUUAAAUCCCUACUAGGAUUCGGAUAGAAAUCCCUGGCGCGAUAGUCAAAUGAUUGCAUACCUCAGAACCAUCCAAAAUAAUAUUUUGAGGUGUAGCCCAUGGUCAGUGGAUUUCUAUCCAAAUCCUCUUUGGUUCAACUACACCAGUUACAGGAUUGGCACUCAUUCAAAGCAUUCUGACGUUGUGAUCCCAAAGGGGGAAAGUUAAGGGUUGUCUUUCCUGACAAAUGCUAAUGAAGGUACACAGUACCCACGGUUGUUACCAGGAGGGCACUCUACAGGCAGUAUGGUAUGGAAAUGAGUUCAUACUCUUGCUUUAAUCUGCAGUGUUUUAGGUGUGUGGCGUUUUAAAGUAUCUUAUUUUUCAAGCAUUGUUUACUUUCCUGCUAACUAAAUGCUGUGCUCUUCUUUUUUU